rnacentral:rRNA from 1 species
UACGUAGGGUGCAAGCGUUGUCCGGAAUUAUUGGGCGUAAAGAGCUCGUAGGCGGUUUGUUGCGUCGGCUGUGAAAUCCCGAGGCUCAACCUCGGGUCUGCAGUCGAUACGAGCAAACUAGAGUGUUGCAGGGGAGACUGGAAUUCCUGGUGUAGCGGUGAAAUGCGCAGAUAUCAGGAGGAACACCUGCGGCGAAGGCGGGUUGCUGGGCUGACACUGACGCUGAUGCGCGAAAGCCAGGGGAGCGAACGGG